GAUAAACGCUGGCGGCGUGCUUUAUGCAUGCAAGUCGUACGGUAGUUGAUAGAUCAGGCUUGCCUGGGAUAUCAAGAGAGUGGCAGACGGGUGAGUAACGCGUAAGUAAUCUGCCCCUAAGUAAGGGAGUAACCCUGAGAAAUCGGAGCUAAUACCCUAUGUGGUGGUGGGGGUAAUGCUUCAUCACUAAAGCCGCAAGGCACUUGGGGAGGAGCUUGUGUCCGAUUAGCUAGUUGGUAGGGUAAUGGCUUACCAAGGCGAUGAUCGGUAGCUGGUCUGAGAGGAUGAUCAGCCACACUGGGACUGAGACACGGCCCAGACUCCUACGGGAGGCAGCAGCAAGGAAUAUUGGGCAAUGGGCGAAAGCCUGACCCAGCGACGCCGCGUGGGGGAUGACGGCCUUCGGGUUGUAAACCCCUUUUCUCGGGGAAGAAUAAUGACGGUACCUGAGGAAUAAGUCUCGGCUAACUACGUG
rnacentral:rRNA from 1 species